rnacentral:rRNA from 1 species
UACGUAGGGUGCGAGCGUUAAUCGGAAUUACUGGGCGUAAAGCGUGCGCAGGCGGGGAUGUAAGACAGGUGUGAAAUCCCCGGGCUUAACCUGGGAACUGCAUUUGUGACUGCAUCGCUGGAGUGCGGCAGAGGGGGAUGGAAUUCCGCGUGUAGCAGUGAAAUGCGUAGAUAUGCGGAGGAACACCGAUGGCGAAGGCAAUCCCCUGGGCCUGCACUGACGCUCAUGCACGAAAGCGUGGGGAGCAAACAGG